rnacentral:rRNA from 1 species
AACGAACGCUGGCGGCAUGCCUAACACAUGCAAGUCGAACGAAGGCUUCGGCCUUAGUGGCGCACGGGUGCGUAACGCGUGGGAAUCUGCCCUUUGGUUCGGAAUAACAGCUGGAAACGGCUGCUAAUACCGGGUGAUGACGAAAGUCCAAAGAUUUAUCGCCAGAGGAUGAGCCCGCGUUGGAUUAGGUAGUUGGUGGGGUAAAGGCCUACCAAGCCGACGAUCCAUAGCUGGUCUGAGAGGAUGAUCAGCCACACUGGGACUGAGACACGGCCCAGACUCCUACGGGAGGCAGCAGUGGGGAAUAUUGGACAAUGGGCGCAAGCCUGAUCCAGCAAUGCCGCGUGAGUGAUGAAGGCCCUAGGGUUGUAAAGCUCUUUUACCCGGGAAGAUAAUGACUGUACCGGGAGAAUAAGCCCCGGCUAACUCCGUG